UUCGACAAAGGCAAAUCCUGAGUAAUCAGGAGACGCAAAGCUAAGUUCCCCCAGGGGGAAGACGGGUUGCCGAAA
rnacentral:ncRNA from 1 species